AUGCGCGUCACGGUGGCCAACGGCGAGCGCGUUCCGUGCCAGGGCGCGUACCGCGUCGUGCCCUUCCGCAUCGGCCACGAGGAGUUCGCGGAGGAUUUCCUCGCCUUGCCGCUCGCGGGCUACGACAUCGUCCUGGGCACGCAGUGGCUGGCAUCGCUCGGACCGAUCCUGUGGGAUUUCCGAGCCCUCUCCAUGACAUUCUGGCGGCGGGGCCAUCGGGUGUGCUGGCACGGCAUUGCAGGACCGGACGGGCCAGCCCUAAAAUCAUGCAGCGGCCGCGACUUCCUGGACGCCAUCAUCACCGAGUUCGACGGCAUCUUCGCCGACCCCUCCGGCGUGCCACCGCCCCGCAGCCGCGAUCACGGCAUCACCCUGCUACCUGGUUCCGCCCCGGUGGUCGUCCGUCCGUAUCGAUACCCGGCCGCGCACAAGGACGAGCUGGAGCGUCAGUGCGCCGCCAUGCUCGCCCAAGGUAUCAUCCGUGCGAGUUGUUCCGCAUUCUCGUCCCCGGUACUGCUGGUCCGCAAGGCCGACGGGUCCUGGCGCUUCUGCAUCGAUUAUCGCGCCCUGAACGCCAUUACUGUCAAGAAUGCGUUCCCGAUUCCGGUGGUGGACGAACUCCUCGACGAGCUACGGCACGCUCGUUUCUUCACCAAGCUCGAUUUACGUUCCGGCUACCACCAGGUGCGGAUGCGUGCGGAGGACAUCCCGAAGACAGCUUUCCGUACUCAUGACGGCCUCUACGAGUUUCUGGUGAUGCCGUUCGGACUCUGCAACGCGCCGGCCACGUUCCAGGCCCUCAUGAAUGAUCUGCUGCGGCCAUACCUGCGCCGUUUUGUUCUCGUCUUCUUUGACGACAUCCUCAUUUUCAGCGAGACAUGGGCUGACCAUCUCCGACAUGUGCGCACCGUCUUCACGGUCCUGCACCAGCACCGGCUCUUCGUCAAGCGCUCCAAAUGCGCGUUCGCCGUUGAAUCAAUCGCAUACCUGGGUCACACCAUCUCCGCUGCAGGCGUGGCCAUGGAUCCGGAAAAGGUGCAGGCAGUAGCGGACUGGCCGCAACCACGCUCGGCGCGCGCGGUUCGGGGCUUUCUCGGCCUUGCGGGGUACUACCGCAAGUUUGUCAAGGACUUUGGCGUGGUUGCCGCGCCCCUGACGGCCCUCCUUCGCAAGGAUGGUUUCUCUUGGUCACCGGAGGCGGCAGCAGCUUUUACCACCCUCAAGACGGCAAUCACCACGGCUCCCGUCCUCGCGUUACCGGAUUUUACACGGCCGUUCAUCGUCGAGUGUGACGCAUCGACGUACGGUUUCGGGGCCGUCCUUCUUCAGGACCACCACCCGGUGGCUUUCUUUAGCCGGCCAGCCGCGCCACGUCACCGUUCCCUGGCAGCGUAUGAACGGGAACUCAUCGGCCUGGUGCUCGCGAUUCGCCAUUGGAGGCCGUACCUAUGGGGGCGUCAAUUUGUGGUAAAAACGGAUCAUUACAGCCUCAAAUUUCUGCUUGACCAGCGUUUGGCCACCAUCCCGCAGCAUCAUUGGGUUGGCAAACUCCUGGGAUUCGACUUUACAGUGGAGUACAAGGCAGGUAGUACCAACACGGUGGCGGAUGCACUUUCCCGCCGUGACACGGAGGAGACGACGAUCAUGGCGGUCUCAGGGCCUCGUUUCGACUUCAUCAAUCGCCUCCGGCAAGCGACGUCCACUGAUCCGGCGCUCGUCGCACUGCGGGAGGAUAUCACGGCAGGUGCGCGGCAACAGCCUUGGGCGCUCUCCGACGGCCUCGUUACCUUCAACGGCCGCCUCUACAUUCCGCCGUCAUCCCCGCUACUCCAGGAGAUUCUUAGUGCCGUGCACGAUGAUGGGCAUGAAGGCGUCCUGCGCACAUUGCAUCGUCUUCGCCGCGAUUUCCACGCACCUAACCUUCGCAAGACGGUGCAGGAGUACAUCCGCACUUGCGGUACUUGCCAGCGGUACAAGUCCGAGCACUUGCACCCUGCUGGGCUGCUCCUGCCGCUGCCGGUACCCACGGGCGUGUGGACUGACAUCGGCAUCGACUUCGUGGAAGCGCUUCCUCGAGUAGGCGGGAAGUCUGUCAUCCUCACCGUGGUGGAUCGCUUCAGCAAGUAUUGCCAUUUUGUGGCGUUAGCCCACCCAUACACGGCAGAGUCAGUGGCACAGGUGUUCUUCGCUGAGGUUGUUCGUCUCCACGGCGUACCACAGUCCAUGGUCUCUGACCGCGACCCCGUCUUCACCUCCGCUUUUUGGCAAGAGCUCAUGCGCCUCACGGGGACAAAGCUGCACAUGACGUCCGCAUUUCACCCGCAGUCGGAUGGGCAAACGGAGGCUGCUAACAAGAUCAUUGUGAUGUAUUUAUGGUGUCUUACCGGGGAUCGUCCCAAGCAGUGGCUCCGGUGGCUUCCCUGGGCUGAGUACAUAUACUACACCGCCUACCAGACAGCAACCCAAGAGACUCCGUUCAAGCUUGUGUAUGGCCGUGACCCUCCCACUAUUCGCUCUUACGAGCCCGGCGACACACGGGUGGCUGCAGUGGCCAGGAGCAUGGCUGAGCGCGACGAACUUAUCGAGGACGUCCGCUAUCGUCUACAACAGGCACAGGCGGUCUAUAAGUCCUACUACGACAGACGUCAUCGGGACAUUCGGCAUGAGGUGGGCGAUUGGGUUUGGCUUCGCCUUCGACAGCGCGCCGCGUCCUCUCUCAACUUGCCAACCAGGGGCAAGCUCAAGCCACGAUUCUAUGGGCCGUACCGCAUUUCAGAAGUGAUCAACGACGUGGCAUACCGUCUUGAGCUUCCGGCGCGCUCGCGCCUCCAUGACGUGUUCCACGUGGGCCUCCUCAAGAAGUUCUUCGGCAUUCCUCCAACUACACCGCCGGGAUUGCCUUCGAUCCACAACGGGGCGGCUGUUCCAGAACCAGAGCGCGUGACUCGUGCGCGCCUAGCACGCGGCGUUCGCCAGCUACUCGUCCACUGGAAGGGUGAAGCAGCUUCGUCAGCUACAUGGGAGGAUCUUGACAGUUUCAUCGAGCGCUACCCCGCUUUUCAGCUCGAGGACGAGCUGCUCGUCGAGGGGGGGAGAGAUGUCCUGUGGGGCACGUCUUACAGACGUGGGCCGCGCGGCCAGGAGCAGCCGACGGCCGCAUCAGGCAAGGCGCAGGCUGGACAGGAGUCCUGA
rnacentral:rRNA from 1 species